AGCAUUAGAGGAAGAGCAGACAAGAGUCCAAGAGCUGGAGGAACGCUUGGCCCGCCAGAAGGAGGUACGCUCGGGGAGAUAGAGUCGGCUGAGCCCCAGUCGGCUUGAGGGCCAUGUGGAAGGAAGUUCAGAGCGGCGAUGAUGGGGAUCUCAGAGAGCAACAUUGCAUACGAGAAACGCAAAGCAAAGGAGGCCAUGGAGAAGGAAAAGAAAAAGGUGCAAGACCUAGAGAAUCGCUUAACCAAGCAGAAAGAGGAAUUAGAAUUAAAAGAGCAAAAAGAGGACGUUUUAAAUAAUAAAUUAAGUGACGCACUGGCCAUGGUUGAAGAGACUCAGAAAACAAAGGCAACUGAAAGUCUAAAAGCAGAGAGCCUCGCCUUGAAAUUAAAUGAAACAUUAGCCGAACUGGAAACUACCAAGACAAAAAUGAUCAUGGUGGAAGAGCGGCUAAUCCUGCAGCAGAAGAUGGUAAAGGCCCUCCAGGAUGAGCAGGAAUCACAGAGACACGGGUUUGAAGAAGAGAUCUUGGAAUAUAAGGAGCAAAUCAAACAGCACGCCCAGACAAUUGUGAGCCU
rnacentral:sRNA from 1 species